UUCUUCAGAAAAAUGGUUGUAGACUGGAGUGCAUUAUAACGGGAAAAUCUCUUGACAAUUGUGUUAAGCAGGACUGUUCGGAUGAGAACAUGGAGCCUAUAGAGUUCAUUGAGUAUGUGAGGCCGGAGAAUGGUGUCAUACUGCUGUGUAUCUAUUCAGCCAGAUUUGUGAUAAUAGUGAGUUGCGAGCUGUAUAUCAGGAUGAAUACUUACAUUGAGUCAGAGAACUGAAUGUUUUGGCAGAGAUUAAGAUAUUAUCUGGUCAAUGAAUCCACAAUCUCAAGGAAAUCACAAGGAAUUUUAAGUUAUUUAAGGAAAUUAAAAAGCACAUUUUGUAAAAAAAAAUACUAAAUUCACAUUUCUCUUCUUUCUUUGAGAAUAUUUUUGAUUUAUAUGUCCAAUCAAUUGUAUUAAUUUAGUGGCAACCAUCACGUUUUUAUCUUUUUAUCAUUAUUAUCUAGACCAAACUCUUUUUUAAAAUUUCUUUCUUUAUGGGGAAUGUUUUCUGCCCUUUUGAAACUAUCUAAAUACUUUGGAGGGUUAACUUAAGUAUAUAUUUGAUUAUAAUGACCAAUUAAAUGUAUUACUUAUAGCCCCAACCGGUUGUUUUUGAAUACUUUCAUUUAGGCAGAACUCUUUUUUUAAAUUUCUUUCUUUAUGGGGAAAUAUUUGAGAAAUGGACAAAAUAUAUUCUUAAGCAUUGCUUUUCUUGUUUCUUAUUCCUUUGAAUGAUACUAAAUGUUACUGUUAUGUUGGUUGGUUGGUGUGUUGGGUCACUUGAGUUGGUUGGUAGGUCAGUUGGGGGUCGGGUUGGUCAGUCGGUCAGUAUGGUCGGUUGGGUUGGUUCGGUCUGUCGGUCCAUUGGUUAGGGUUGUCAGUAGGUCAGUGUUCUGGUCGGUUGUCCAGUUUAAGGUCUAUCUCGGUUCCCUGUUCCCUGUUCCCUGUUCCCUGUUCUAGUUCCUAGGUUCGCUGUUCCAGUUUCCAGGUUCCCAGUUCCAGUUCCUUCAGAGAUACCAUCAAAUUAUACAUGAUUUUUAGAAUGUUGUGGAUAACCUGAGACUAUGAAGAUUAAUGAUUGAGUGGUACGAUUUCUUCCCAUCAAGGAACAGUACAGUAACCUGAUGUUCAGAUCUCUCUGAGAUAAAAUGGGUCCAAACUCUUUGGUGGAUGUCGAGUUUACAAGAAACAUCGAUAAUGAAACCGUUGAAUGCAGUAUAUAGACGGCAAAGCAGGACAGUAACAAAUGGAUCAUCUAUUUCUAAUGUGAAUUAUAACAAUAAAGUUUUUGUUGUAUUGUU